rnacentral:rRNA from 1 species
UACGGGGGGAGCAAGCGUUGUUCGGAUUUACUGGGCGUAAAGGGCGCGUAGGCGGUCGUGCCAAGUCACUUGUGAAAUCUCCGGGCUUAACUCGGAACGGUCAAGUGAUACUGUCGGACUAGAGUACAGAAGGGGCAACUGGAAUUCCCGGUGUAGCGGUGAAAUGCGCAGAUAUCGGGAGGAACACCUAUGGCGAAGGCAGCUCGCUGGGACGUUACUGACGCUGAGACGCGAAAGCGUGGGGAGCAAACAGG